rnacentral:rRNA from 1 species
GGAGGGUGCGAGCGUUAAUCGGAAUGACUGGGCGUAAAGGGUGUGUAGGCGGNUUGAUAAGUUAGGUGUGAAAUACCCAGGCUUAACCUGGGAAGGUCACUUAAGACUGUCAGACUAGAGUAUAGGAGAGGGUAGUGGAAUUUCCGGUGUAGCGGUGAAAUGCGUAGAGAUCGGAAGGAACACCAGUGGCGAAGGCGGCUACCUGGCCUAAUACUGACGCUGAGACACGAAAGCAUGGGGAGCAAACAGGAUUAGAUACCCUGGUAGUCCAUGCUGUAAACGAUGUCGACUAGCUGUUGGGCCUAUAUAAUGGGUUUAGUANCGAAGCAAACGCGAUAAGUCGACCGCCUGGGGAGUACGGUCGCAAGAUUA